ACUGAGGGAAUCUUCUUGGCUCUUUUUUCUCUAAGUAGAAGGGAAGAGCUUUUAUAAGAAAUAACCUUUUCAGCAAGUCCAGGGUAUUUUUUAAAACUCUCCUUCCUCCUGCAGCAAUUGUGACAUGUCUACAUGAAAUUGGCCACAGGAAGGAAACCCUGUUGGAGAAGCUAUUUUCUGAACACCCUUUUAUACCCAAGGUUGCACAACGUGCAUACUUUUAGGUGGAAGACCAGGACUUCACACCCUCAGGGGCAGCUAUAAUUUGGAAGUCAAUUGCUUUCAUGAAGCUUGUGCAUGAUCCUCUAGCAGAGCACCAGGAAGAGCUAGAGACGACUUAACAUCUACUUUAAAGCAAGGCUUGCAGAACUGGGAAUACAUCCUGCAAGGAGGGCAACUCCAUGAGACUCUGCAAUGAGGAAGUUACAUGUUUAGAGAAGGGCUGGAAAAAAUAGAAGGGCCCAGCCACUGGGAGGUACAGUGACCCAGGACUGCUGCUCUGAAGAGUGCCCUUUUUCUUAAGAUAGGCAACAAAGAAUAACAGGUUUAUGGCCCCAAAGAAUGUACAGCCGGCAGCAGAGUGACUUACCAUCAUGUCUGCACGCAUCUGACAGGUCUAGGCACCUAGCCCGCCGUCAGCCUUGCCUUGGUCAGGAUGCACGGAGUUUGUGUGAGACCUUCUGCUCUCCCAGUGCUAGCUGGUCAGGUGCGGGUGGAUGGAACCACCUGACGCCUUGCUCCCUGCUCCCACCUGUGGGACCUCAGCUGGACAUGACCACAGCCAUCUUGGAUGUUGUCAUGCAGCAGCCAUGGAAGGCCCCGCCACCCCGCCUUCAGGAAGUCAGCUCACACAUGCUGGCCAGCUGCGUCCCCUGACUGUUCUUCUUGCCUGUGACUUCGCCCUCCACUCUCUGUCAUUGUCUCUGAAGGGCUGUCCUGGUGCAGGGAGAAAGGGCUUGGGACUGGCAGGGCACCAAUGGAGCACCUGUCUUCAGACUUCCAGGCCAGAACUUCCUUGGGUCCCCUCCCACAGUGGGACGCUUCAGGGUCUGGAAAGUUUGUUCUCGGGGAGGAAAGAUGUGGGACUUCUCAGGCGCUGAGGAGGCUGGACUCACCACCAGGCCUGUGUUCACCAAAGGCACCGAGGGGCGCCCUGCUGUGACUGUGGGAAAUGAAUGCACGUAAAUAGUUAAGAUAAAGGACUGCAGGUGAGCCCUCCUGAAGGCAACCACAGGUUCUUUAUAAGACCUUGGAGAGGAGACACAGACACAGAGAGUGGCCGUGUGAGGAGGAGGCAAAGACCGGGCAAGGGAGUCCCAGGCUGGGCGAGAGCAGCAGCCACCAGAAGCCGAGGAGGCAGGAAGGAGCCUUCUCUGGAGCCUUAGGAGGGACUCACCCACUGACCUUGGACUUCUGGUCUUUGGAACUGUGAGAGGUGACUCCUGUUGUGUUAGCCUCCCAGUUUGUGGUGCUUGUUAGCAGCCCUAGG
rnacentral:lncRNA from 1 species